UCUCUCUUUUCCUUUCACCUUCUCUCGCCCCCUCUCUCUCUAACCCUAAUAACAGAACUGCAGUCACAAACGUCAGCUGCAGUGACGCUCGCCGCCGUCUGCCAUUGCCGUCGCCGUCCACAACCUUUUCCCUUUCUCUCUCUUUUGAUCUGACGUUUUCGCUCCCCCUCUCUCUAACCCUAAUAACGCCGCCUGCUAGUCAUCGUCGCCACCUUACAGUCACCGUCGCCGCCGUAUGCCGUUGCCGUCGCCGGCCUAUAUGUCAAUUUGAGUUCUAGUAGUAGUCGGAAUGCAUAGCUAGUUCCUCCGCAUCAGUCAAGCUAAUGAAUGAUGGGAAGGGAAUUAACAAAAGUAGCGCUUUCUAAGUUCUAAGAAGACAGGGAAGGGGAAGAGGCCAGGAAAGGGAGGGAAUCGAUACUUUAAGAGUAUUGGUUUGGGAUUCAAGACUCCUCGUGAGGCUACUGAAGGUUCUUGACCAGUUAUUGUAACUGCAGCAGAUGAUGCACCUGAUGCAACUAAAGGCAGUUGCUUUUUCAUGCAACAACAUCACCAACCUCAACAACUUUUUCAGAGGAAAGGGAGAGGCGGAGGGACGUGCAGUUUGACGGUAUGAGGGCCCAAUUAGACGCAUUACUUGCUUCGAGGGGGAUUCCCUCGUGUCCUGAUGAUGCUCGUAACCCCCAUACUCAAUCUAGUGGUGCGGAUGAUGAUGAGACUUACGUGUCAAACACACAAAGGCAUGUUUGAAUGUUAAUGUGGUGGUUGAUUUGUGGAUUUGCGAGGGGUGAAGUAGUCUAAUAUGUUGUAGACUAACUCAGUGUAGACUAGCUUAAUGUUUCGUGGAUGUUUACAAAUGUUGAAGUAGUUUAAUGUUGUUUUGAUGUUUGCGAAGGUUGAAGUAGCUUAAUCAAUGUCUCUUGUGAAUGUUUAAUUGACGUUUUUAUUCAACUUUGAAGUAGUUUCGAAUUGAAUGUGAUGUUUUGGUGGUUGUAA